rnacentral:rRNA from 1 species
UACGUAGGGGGCUAGCGUUGUCCGGAAUCAUUGGGCGUAAAGAGCUCGUAGGCGGUUGAGUAAGUCGGGUGUGAAAACUCUGGGCUUAACCCAGAGCCGCCACUCGAUACUGCUCUGACUUGAGUACGGUAGGGGAGCAGGGAAUUCCUAGUGUAGCGGUGAAAUGCGCAGAUAUUAGGAGGAACACCGGUGGCGAAGGCGCUGCUCUGGGCCGAAACUGACGCUGAGGAGCGAAAGCGUGGGUAGCAAACAGG